rnacentral:tRNA from 1 species
CCUGAUGGCUCAAUGGUAAAGAAUCUGCCUGCGAUGCAGGAAACCCAGGUUCAAUCCCUGGGUCAGGA